AGCGCAGGCGGAUAGGUCAGUCUAAAGUGGAAUCCCGGGGCUCAACCUCGGAACUGCUUCGGAUACUGCCUGUUUUGAGUUCGUGAGAGGAAAGCGGAAUUCAGGGUGUAGCGGUAAAAUGCUUAGAUAUCCUGAGGAACACCAAUGGCGAAGGCAGCUUUCUGGCGCGAUACUGACGCUGAGGCUCGAAAGCGUGGGGAGCGAACG
rnacentral:rRNA from 1 species